ACCUACGGGAGGCAGCAGUGAGGGAUCUUCGGCAAUGGGGGCAACCCUGACCGAGCAACGCCGCGUGCGGGAUGACGCUUUUCGGAGUGUAAACCGCUUUUCUGGGGGACGAGGGAGUACGGACGGUACCCCAGGAAGAAGUCUCGGCUAACUACGUGCCAGCAGCCGCGGUAAUACGUAGGAGACGAGCGUUGUCCGGAGUUACUGGGCGUAAAGGGUGCGCAGGUGGCCGCGCGCGUGGGGGGUGAAAUCGCCUGGCUUAACUGGGCGGGGGCCUUCCAGACGGCGUGGCUUGAGGCGCGGAGGGGGACGUGGAAUUCCGGGUGGAGCGGUGAAAUGCGUAGAGAUCCGGAGGAACACCGACGGCGCAGGCAGCGUCCUGGCCGCGACCUGACACUGAGGCACGAAAGCUGGGGGAGCAAACAGGAUUAGAUACCCGGGUA
rnacentral:rRNA from 1 species